GAAAACCAGGAGAAAACCUCAGAGUUUACCUGUGAAAAGGAAAAAAACAGUUGGAGCACUUACCCACUGGAGGUCCGGAGCCAAGUGACUGAACGAAGGAGAGAGUUACGUCGGCUAACCACUUGGCUUUCACCCAGAGAGCCGCGGCAAGGUCCGACAUCGGCGUGCUCCGCCUUGAUACACAGAGAGCAACGGUCAGGUUUUUUGGAGGACUGAAGAGUCUGAGGUUCAGGACAAACUUCCUGCUGUAACAGAUGGCGAGCCAACCACCCUGAAGAAAGAUCAGCACCGAGAAGAUAUCCACGUACCCACUCAUUCACACACACAUUAUACAUUUACAUUACACUACAAAGACCUCUGGAAUCAGGUGAACUUGCAAUAAUCCUACAACAGGAAAACCUGCAACAACUCCUAUUUUACUUAAGGGCCCCAACGGACAAUUUUUUGUUUCAAGUGUGCACACUGGGUUUUUCUUAUUGUCUUACUGUUUGGGUUAUUAUUUUGUAUUCUGUACAAAUCCGACAACUUGUUUUAUCCACUGUUAAAAAUUAUACGAGUGGCUACUCAAC
ensembl:lncRNA